UAUUAUUUAAAAAUAAAAGAAAAGAAGAGAGAGAGAGGUUCGUGUCGGUCAUUUACUUUCCUCCAUACAAGUUUUGAGUUGGAACGACAAGUUUUGGCAAGUUAAUGUGAGUGGAACGACAAGUUAAUACAAUAUUGAAAUUGGGCAUACGGUUAUCAUUGGAUGCUCUAGGGAUUCCGGAAACACGGUCUCUCAAGCUCUGUUGAAUGUUGAAACUGCUGUUUUUGUUACGAUUACGAUGAGACGUCGCAACUUGCCAGCACGAUGUUAUGGCCAUUAAAUUACUUUUUGUUUAUUUAAUCGAGCAGCACCAAUAACACCUGCAAACGCACGAGUUAAUUAACACCAUUAAUCAAUUGUAAUUAACAGUGAAUUAAGUAAUCAACCGACAACGCCCGGAUUAAAGCCUCUAAUUAUCUUCCUAACAGUACUUUGCAUUAACUGGAUUCUUUGUCCUUUCCCAGGUGAAAAAGCAACGUUGUCUUGUUAUUUUAAAUUUUUUAUUUUUAUUUUUAAUAAAUAGUUUGACCGACCGGUGGCAGGGAAAAACCGGUGGGAUGUGAAAAAUGCGGGCGUGGCUGAGAGUGUCCUUUUGAGAUGAUCAAGGCCACACGGUUGGCCACUUGGACGGACCCCUCUUAAUAUCUUAUUAACUUUAAUUGAUAACCUGUUUGAAGCCCGAUAAAAAAGUAUAAAAUUAAAUUAUGAUUACAUUUUUUUUUAACAUUUAUAAUUGUUUAAUAGGGUAUGGGUGAACUUUGGAAAACACCAUUUGUACGGCGGCUUGCCUUCUUUUGGGCUUCACUUAUUGUAUCGCAUUCCAUUUUUCAAUUGCCCUCGUGAGCUGUGUUCAGGGUGUGUAAAAUUACCCAUUAAUAUGCAAAUCUGUCUAAUUUUGUAAGUUGCAAGUAAACUUAGUAUUUUAAAUUUAAACUCAUUGAUUUACUAUUAAGAAAAAGAUCUAAAUAUCUACCGCCCGCAUUCUUUUUCAAUUAU
rnacentral:lncRNA from 1 species